ensembl:lncRNA
CACCUUUCCCCUGGCUGUGCUGGUGGUGGCGCCCUGGGCACAGCGUGCGAGCGACGAGCCCCUGAGUGGCAGCCAACGGGCACGGCCGCGUCCGAGCCAGGCGCAUCCUUCCCCGCUAGCUCCGGCACGGUCUGAAUCCUCCCAUCCUAGCUCGCGCCGACGCUUGUGUGCUCUCUCCCUCCCUCUCGCUCUGUGCCUUGCUCACACACACGCACGCACACACACACACACACACACACACACACAGAUGCUUGCUCGCUCGCGCUCUCUUCCCCCCAACACACACACACACACACACACACAGACGCAGACGCUUGUUCCGACUGACAAGCUCUGGCUUGCGCUCUAUCUAGACUGCACACUCUCUUUUUCCUCUGACUCUCUCUGUCUAUUCCUUCUCUCUUUCUCUCUCUUUCUCCUUCUCUCUCUCACUUACUGUCUGUUUGCAGACAAAGCUCCCUCAGUCCUUUCAUUCACCGCCUCAGCUGAGCGUCGGAAGCAAAGGAAAAGAGUAGGACGAGGACGGAGGUGUGGAGGAGGAGGAAGUGAGGAUGAAGAGGAGGAGGAGGCAGCACUGAAGAGAGCCAGUGAGGAGGAGGAGAAGGCGCAGGAAGCCAGGGUGAGGAGAGGAGAGGAGGCUGCUGCUGCUGUCACUUCUGCUACCCCUCUCUUUCUCUCUCUUCUCUCUCCCUCUCUCUCUCUUGCUCUUGCUCUUGUGCUGCAAAUCCCAGGCAAGAGAAAAAACGCCUCCCGCUGUCAUCAACAAACGCUGCUGCUUCUGCUGCUGCUGCUUCUUCCUCUGCUGUAUGUGUGUGUGUGUGUGUGUGAGCGUGUUUAUAUCUGUGCGUGUGUGAGAGGCAGAGAGAUGUAGGCUGCUUCCACCACCACCACUGCUGCUGCUGCUGCUGCUGCUGCUGCUGCUGCUUCCACUAUGUUCAGGCUCUCACUACAUUGACUGCCCUCCUUACAUUUCUUUCUUUCUGUCUCUCUCUUUCUCUGUCACUCUGUCACUCUCUCACUCUCUCUCUCUCUCUCUCUUUCGCUCCCCCCAGCGUCGUGCUGCGUCCUCACUGACUGCUGGAUUGAGAGACGAUGAUGCUGGAGUUUAUGUCAAGCCUAGGCGACUGCCAGAUCUCUCUCUCUCUCUCUCUCUCUCUCUCCUCCUCCUCCUCUCUUCCCUCCCCUCGCAUCACUCACUCGGCUGCUGGCCGCUGGCUGGCUGAGGGGAGGGGCCUGGCUUAUGCUCGGGCUCUUAAAGGGACAGCACACCUUUCCUCCAUCUCCAGCUCCAGCUCCUCUCUAUUCUGUCAUUCCAC